GCCUAAUGAGUCGCAUUUCAUUCAAGAAGAGAAACAGCUCUGGGUAUGUCUUUGCAGGAGGUAAUUGAACCAAGGGAACGGGAAACUACAAAACCGUGGGAAGCGCGGAGGUGAGUCCGGGCCCAGCAGGUGUCUCCUGCGGAGCAGGGGUGGCGCAGGGCGCAUGCGCAGGGCCGGCUGCAGCCAUUCCGCCAUCCGGCGCUUGUGCAGGUGCCUCCCGCGGAGUCAGUCUAGGAAACGUUUCCAGGCGCCUAGUCUUUGCAAUCAAAAGAAUCAGAAAUGUUGCUGAGGCCCUAAGAGACAGUUCUGCACAGCUGCUCAAAACAGAAUCGGAGGGUGGAUGAUGGGGGAUAGUGUGUGCGGCUCUUUGCUGGCUAGGUCUCCUACCAGACUUUUAAAAAGUAGCACGUGAAGGUGUAUGGAGGUCGGCGCGCAGCGCUGCUUAGGACUCUGUCUUCACAGGAAGUGGAGCACGCCUGCCUCAACCUCAGCCCUCAGCAAUGCCUUCCGACUCCGAGCCGAGAGCCCUUCCUGACCUCGUGGCUGAGCGUCUCUGGCCUUCUCUGCAGCUCCUCAACGGUGUGGCAGCGCAGCGCAGGCCCUCCUGGCUGACCUUCAGAAAUCUGUUGAAAUCUUAAAAUAAGAAAACAGGGAAGCUUGCUGCAUCGAUUGACUCUUCCUUUCACGAAAUAUUUCUCUGUAGCGUGCAAUGCUGUGCCCUGGUAAAAAGAAAUUGUCUUUGAGAACCUGGAUUGUACUUACAGGCUUUAUUUCAUGGAGGCUUAUGGCAAACAGGUGGCAAGGGCAUAUGUCUACUCUGCCAUUUAACUCGGAGAGUUUUGCCUGCUUUUUAAGUUAUGGAAAAUUGGAAGCAGG
rnacentral:lncRNA from 1 species